rnacentral:tRNA from 1 species
CCUUCGAUAGCUCAGCUGGUAGAGCGGAGGACUGUAGUUGACUCCAAGGAGACAUCCUUAGGUCGCUGGUUCGAUUCCGGCUCGAAGGA